rnacentral:hammerhead_ribozyme from 1 species
AUCAAGUUGAUGAGUCCAAAAUAGGACGAAACAUGAGUCCUGGAU